rnacentral:rRNA from 1 species
AGUGAACGCUGGCGGCAUGCCUAACACAUGCAAGUCGAACGGCCGCACAGUGAGCGCUUGCUCUUACGGGUGGCGAGUGGCGGACGGGUGACGCAUACAUCAGCAUCUUCUUUUUCUUGGGGGAUAACGUAGGACCACUUACACUAAUACCGCAUACGACCUACGGGAUAAUUCAAGGGUUCUUCGGGCCUUGCGCGAUCGAAUGAGCUGGAGUCGCAUUAGCUAGUUGGCUGGGUAAAGGCCCACCAAGGCAACGAUCCGUAGCCUGUCUGAGAGGAUGAUCGGCCACACUGGAACUGAGACACGGUCCAGACUCCUACGGGAGGCAGCAGUAGGGAAUAUUGGGCAAUGGGCGCAAGCCUGACGCAGCCACACCGCGUGAGUGAAGAAGGCCUUCGGGUCGUAAAGCUCUUUUGUUGGGAAAGAAAAGCAGCAUGUUAAUACACCGCUGUUCUGACGGUACCCAAACAAAAAGCACCGGCUAACUUCGUG